UACAGAGGCCUCGAGCGUUAGGCGGAAUCACUGGGCUUAAAGCGCGUGUAGGCGGAUCGUUAAGUACCUUGUGAAAUCCCACGGCUCAACCGUGGAACUGCUGGUAUACUGGCGGUCUUGGGCCAUCUAGGGUCGCCGGAACAAGCGGUGGAGCGGUGAAUGCGUAGAUAUCACUGGAACGCCGACGGUGAAACAGCUCGCUGGUGUGAUUCUGACGCUGAGGCACGAAAGCCAGGGAGGCAAACGGG
rnacentral:rRNA from 1 species